UGUGAUCCUCCCUAGUUUACCAAGCCAGAAUUAUUUAUAACGUAGUUCUUGGAAUAAACAUUUCUUUUUUAUUUUAUGAAUAAACCUAAUAGAUUAGCAUAUGGGUUAAAUUAGUGCCUGUUAACCAAAGAAGAAAAAUAGUAACAUAUAUUUAGUCCUAUAUAUUUGGGUUUCCAAAUACUAAACCCAUUUUCAUUAAAGUAAAUUGUGUUUGAGGUCCAGCCCCAACCAAGAACCAAUAGGUUUAAUUACAUUACAUGGUGAUGUUUUUGUUUCUUCAAACAAAUGGAAGAUUAUGUAGAACCCUAUACAGGUUUACUGGUUUAAAAUAGGAAUGCACUUCUGUGAAAUUGAGAUAAGCAUAUUGCACAAUGAGCAACAGAAUUUGUUGAAAAGCUUCAAUCGAGCAGCUCUAUCUCUGUCACCUAUCUGGAGUCAGCCUCUGUGUCCAAUCUGCACUCACAGCCAUGAGUGUGCAGCUGAACAUGGUUGAAAACUUUAGACCUUUCACCAACUGCCCCAAUAAAACGGAGGCAUCUCUCACUUAGCUUUAUUGAACUCCACGUGAAUGCUCAAUAAGAGCUUAAAGUCUUUCUCCCCAUACAAGGUAGUUGUUUUGUGGUCUAGGAUGACCUCCUCACCCCACAUCCCCGUGUAUCCAAACUUCAGGGCCCAAGUCAAAUGCUAUUUAUUUGUGAAAUUCUUUAUAAUUCCAAGAAAGCUUGCAUGGGUGGGCACUCAUACACUAUCAGGGUUGUAGGGCUUCUCAGUGCAUUUGAUGAUGCCCCUUACUCUCUCUAAAAACAAAGUUCACCAGAUAAAAUGCCAAAGUCACAAAUGUCCCCUGACGUUGUAAUAACCUACCCUGGGCUAGCAUCACUGACUCCAACUUUGCAGUAAUCUCCAACCUGGCUUCCCCCUUCCUACCACAGCCCCUCUGAGUGCAUAACUGGGUCAUGCUGCACUUAGAAGCAUUGAAGGUACUGUUCUUAACACUUGUAACCAUUGUAACCGCAUCCUGCUUGGCAUACCUCCCCACUGCUAUUGUAAGAAAAAAGUUUCCCUUUGAUCACUGUGUAGAAGGAGCCUGAUCGACCCCGCUUCUUGGUAAUUGUAUAGAAACCACCUGUGCCCGCAGCCCCUUCUUGUAACUUGCUUUUCUGCUUCUGUAAAAAUCCGCUUCAGCUGGGUACUCCCCGCCCCUACCUAAAUCCAGGUAUAAAAGCUAAUCAGGCCCCUUCCUCGGGGCCGAGAGAAUUUUGAGCAUUAGCCAUCCCUCGGUGGCUGGCAAAUCAAUACAGGACUCUUAAUUUGGAACUUCAGAGCGUGGCGCGUUCCUUCUAACUCGCUCAGUUACAACAUUUGGAAGCUCCAGCGAGAUAUUCACCACCAGGUGUAGACGGGGCUCAUUCCAGGGCCACAUAAACCACCCCUUACCGGAGGAGAAUGGAUCGACUCCCGGCCCGCGCUCCACCAAAUUAUUCUUCAGAGUCCCUGGUCCUGCUCCGUGGAGAAGUGAGUGACACUGGCUGGCUUUGAGGAACACAAUGACUAUUAGUGCAGUCUGAUGUGGCUGCAUGUAUGCCGACAUUACCAGUUUUACCCACCAUGGCUUUACACCAACAUCAGCACAGUGGAAAAGUUUUUAACAGAUGUUGUCAGAAGUGGGACCUGAAGAAAAGCUUCUAAUUACCCCAUGAACACUGAACGCAUGCAAGGUACCUGCAGGACCCACUUGAAUCCACUGAUCUCUCAGAGCAUCUGGGGAUAAUGGGAAAAAAGAUCAAGCAAUCCAGAAGAACCAUUCCAAGGUGGAUCCAAGUAGUGCAAAAGGUGGACCGUAGUGGAUACUGUGGUGUGCUGCCCAGAUCUUCUCUUCAGGAAUGAGGCAACUAUUCUGCCAUCUGCUGGUAUUACUGGUGGCUGGUAACUGUUAGCUUAGUUCUUUUUUGGGAAUUCUCCAUGGCCACAGAGAGCUGUCUUGGCUAAGUUCAUGCUCUCUCUCGUAAGGCAGCCUGUACUGAAUGACUGGUCAUGAUAGCAAAAAGGCCCCACUGCUUUAAGGCAGGACAAACCUAAAAGUCAUGUCAGCUUCAUUCCUCUCUUUGCUAAAGGAAGCAUUUGCUACAGUUCAAACACAAUUAUUUAUCUGCCAAAUUCUACUUCCUUUAUCCUCUCACAGAUACUGAUCUUGAAAGCACUCCUUAAAAAAUUGCCUGCAUACAAAUCUGUGCCUCUCUAUCUUUUCCUGAGAAACCAUAAGACUCUGCCCAUAGGGAAGGACACAGUAUAGUUACCUUAGGAGAUGUUUCUCAUGAUCAAAUUUAUAAGAGUGCAAAUAAUAAUGAAAAGAAGUGACUAUACUACAUGUAAUUUUUCCUGGCAUUUCACUUAGAAGUCUGGAUUGUGAGAUAAAACAGUAGUUAGAAGAAAUUCUGAAAAUGCCUUUGCAAAAAUUAUUAAUGGGGGAUCUGAUCUAGCCAACCCCUCUUCUUGCCUUUAGCUUUCAGGCUGCCUUAAUUCUUCCUGGGCUUAGACCAGCUAACUUUGGAAAAUAGGUUAUAUUAAUAGUUUAGAUGAUAACAGGCCUUCCCAAAAGCUCAACCGCCUUUGUAAAGGUAAUGAGAGACACCAGGCAAGAGGGAGGAGAGGAGCCUGAAUUCUGGUAAGGUGUAGACAUAAAUGAUUGCCAGCCAUGCCUGUAGAUAACAUCACUAUUGUAUAUUGGCUUUUUGAGAUUUUGAGGUUUUUUGCAUGUCUGACAUCCAUGGCUCCACCUGGACCUGACAACCUCUGCCCUUAAGGCCCUAAUCAGAAGCAAGUGAGCUCAAGAGGACAGGUUUGACCCCCCGUGAUUUUAUCUCUGCCCCAACCAAUCAGUAGCAGGCACCCAUUUCUAGCCACCUACAUCCCUUCCAACAAACUGCCUUUGAAAAAUCCCAAGCCUACAAGCCUUCAGAGAGACAGGUUUGAGUAAUAACUCUUCCCUGCAUGACAGGGCCAGCUUCAUAUCAAUUAAACUCUUUCUUUACUGCAAUGCUGUGGUCUUUAUUUGUGCAGUGGGCAAAGAGAACCCAUUGGGUGGUUACAAUUCUAGGAAUGUUACAGGUACAAUGAGUAUGCAUAUUUUAAAAUGAAAAUGUCAAACAGACUUGAAUAUUAGUCUUAUUUACAUACAGAAGAAGGAAUGUCUGAGAAAUUUUUAAAAAACAGAGAAAUACACCUGCCAUUCUCCUUACAGCUCAGGUAAAUUCCAGUUUAUUAGUAUUACUUGGGCAUAGUGCAAAUGUCUGAUUCAGUUUGGCAUAACAAACCUGGCUGAUACUGACUCUGUCCUUUAAAACAUAACCAUAAAAUUGAUAUUUUGAUCCUGAAUUUCCUUUAAUGUGUUUAAGGUACAGUUUUAUGAACUGGCUGACAGUGUGGUAAUGAGAAGUGUCCAAUAAUCAUUAUGUUAUUAUUGCUCAUCUUGAAAGCAAUGAAGUGGUGUAAUCAAUAAAAUUGUAUCCUCACUUAGCUUACAGCAGUGAUGUACUAGUAAGGUUAUAGUUUAAUUCCUCUUCAGAAUGAAGAUGAAGAAAGUAGAAAUACAAAUACUGUAUGAAAAAUGACUAAACCUGAAAUAAAGUCAUGUUUACCAGGAAUACCCCAAAUUCAUCUGAGUUGAAGCUAAGAAUUAAUUUACCUGCUUUGGAAAAAACAAAGGGGAUUGCUGUGUGGCAGCCACAGCUGUUGAAAAGUACUUUGUUUCUUUGAAAAUGAUGAAGAAUUCUAUAGGUGUCUUAACUAGGGGUUUUCAGUCUGGGAAUCUGAACUGUAGGCAAAACUUCGUGUGCACAUUUCUGGGGAGAGGGUAUAUGGCUGUAACUGCCAACGGGUUCACCUUGCCCACUGCCUAGACAGAGCCAAUUUAUCAAGACUAGGGGAACUGCAAUGGAGAAAAAGUAAUUCACAGAGUUGGCUUUGUGGAAGACUGGAGUUUCACUGUCCCCUUGAGCAUUUGGGGUUGGAGUUUUUAAGGAUAAUUUUGAGGAGGGGGAAAAUUUUGGAAAAUGGGGAGUGCUAAUUGGUUGGGUUGGAGAUUGAAUCAUUGGGGGUUAAACUGAGGUUUUCUUGCUGUCUUCUGUUUCUGGAUGGGAUUGCUCAACUGGUUGAGCCAGAUUACUAGUCUGGGUGAUGCCAGCUGGUGCACUGAGUGCAGGGUCUGCAAAAUAUCUCAAGCACUGACCUUAGGUUUUACAAUAGUGAUGUUAUUCCCAGGAGCAAUUUGGGGAGGUUCAGACUCUUGCAGCAGAGGCUGCAAGGUCCCUAAACCAUAAUCUCUAAUCUUGUAACUAGUAUGUUAAUCCUACAAAGGCAGACUGUUUCCCAGGCAAGAGGUGGUUUUGGGGGGCUGCGGGGGAGAGGAUGUUAACUCUGAAACAAAAUUUUCGGAGUUAAACUAUGAACUAAAUUCCUUCCCAAAGUUAAUUUGGCCUACUGACAGGAAUGAACAAGGACAUCUUAAAGGUUAGAAACACGAUGGAGUCAGUUCUGAUCUCUUCCACUGACAUAAUUUCCUCAGUUUAAUUUUUGCUAAAGUGGUUUCAUGGCAUUUACCAGAUUAUAAGUGGGACCAUGUCCUUUGAAAUAUUAACAACCACUUUCCUAAAUACUUCCUAACAUCUUUUCUUAUACUAAUGUAAACAGCUUAGGGGUGAGGCUUUUUGUUUGCUUAACAGCCUUGCUGAAGUAUAACUGACGUACUUCAAACUGCAUGUUUUUCAAGUGUGAGUUUGAACAUGUGUACACACUUGUGAAACCACCGCCACAAUUAAGAUAAUGAGCAGGUCCAUCAGUUUUCCUGUGUCCAACUAUAAUUCCUCCCACCUUCCUCUUUCUGAUCCUCUGCUUUCUCAAGGAAACGACUGAUUUGUUUUCUGUCACUAUAGAUUAAUUUGCACUUUCUAAAUGUUAUACAAGCAGAAUCAUCUAGUACCUACUCAUUUUAUCUAGCUCCUCUCACAUAUCAUAAUUAUUUUACUUGUCAAAAGAAUGAAUUAUUGAUCAAUAAAAAAUACAAUCAUAAUCCAUGAUGGAUCAAUAAAUCAUUGAUCAAUGAAUCAAUUAUUCCUUUUUAUUGCUAAGUAGUAUUCUAUUGUAUGCUAUACCAGUUUGUUUAUAUAUUCACCUCAUUAUGAGUAUUUGAGUGUUUCUGAGUUCUUCUGUUACAAACAAAGCUGUUAUUAACAUUCAUGUAUACAUACUCUGCAUAGAUACACAUUCUCUUUUCGCUUGGGUAGAUACCCAGGAGUGGAAUGGCUGGAUCACAUAAUAGAAAUAUUUUUAAUUUUUUAAGAAACUGCCAACAUGUUUUCCAGGGUGACUAUACCAUUUUUACAUUCCCACCAGCAGCAUAUGAGAGUCUAUAUAUUGGAACUUACACACUUGCUAACACUUAGUGUGGUCAGUCUUUAAUUUUAGCCAUUCUAAUAACUCUGUUGUGGCAUCCUACAGUAGCUUUACUUUGCGUUUCUCUAAAAGAGCAUCUUUCCAUGUGCAUAUUUGGUGAAGUCUUUUUAGGGCUAUCUUCUGACAAUAUAAGCAAGCAUUUCCAUAAAUACAAGUAUGUUUUUGCUAAGUUAGGUAGAAGGCUCUUUCUAAAAAGAAACAGAAGUCUUUAUUAGGGAAACAUAAGUGUUUCUUAAUACGAGAGGUAAAACGUUCUCAGAGUGCCUAUCAGGCAUUCUUGUAGGUCAUCUAGUAGAUGAAUAAAACAUAUACAUAGAAGCAUCAGGCAUAGCUCAAGCAGCAUCAUUCUGCAUCUUGGAAAGUGUGCUAGAGCUUCCUGUGCAGUUCAAAAACUUCCACUUUCUUCUACGGACUUUGUGUAGGUCAUGAGUUUGAAUAUAAUUAAACAAAGGAAAUGAGAAGGAAAUAAUCACAUCACGGAGGGAAGAAAUUAUAUGACACAGGGAAUCCAUCCGACUUUGGUUUCUAGAGGCACAAAGCAAAGUCUUCCCAGCCCUUUUCUGUCUACAGCAAGAAGGUCUUAUUUACCAUACUACAUGUCUGGAUGCCAAGAGAAGAGUCUUACAUCCAGGAGCACAUUCUGGGAAUAUUAACAAGACGACAUGCAUAUAAAGCAAAAUAAUCUAGGAAUCUAAUGACAAUCUCACAACCACUGUUGGGGGAAGGCUCACAUGCAGCUAGGACUACAAAUUAAAACAGCAGCCUAAUGUUCUGCAAUACAGUCUAUGUAUAAGACCAGAAAUAAUUCGUGUCUCCUUUAAUGCACAUAAUCACUUGAUUAAAACACAAACACUUAUGGAGAUAAGCUUCAAGCUAUCUUUAUGAUCUUGUCAUAUGAAACAUGAAUUCCAGAAAAGUUCUAAUCAGUCUGAAGAACUAUGCCAAAGGAAAAGAAAAAGCAAAAUGUAACUAACCAGAAUCAACUUUUUCAUAUGGUCACUCUCACUUUACCUUGAUCCAUUUUAUAGAGAGGUGCUUUGAGAGUCACCUAUUAAUAGGACAUACACAGCUUGAGAUUUAACCUAGCAGCUUCUGGAUUGGGAAAGCUUUGGAAAUGUUAAAAUUAAUAAGACAGUAAAUCUACUGAUAUGAGGAAUGCUACCUAAAUUAUGGGCCAAGGCAGCCAACUGAGGCAGAGCCAUCUGGCAUUCGCACAAAGCCCAGGGAAACCUCAAGUUGAGCCCAGCACAUGGUGGCAGCUGUCCAAGCAGAAGAGCUCUCACACAUGUGGCCAGUCAUGUGGAGGAGGAAGGAGCCAAGCCUUUGUUUAUAUUAUGUGGCACGGCUCUGGAGAAGGAUAUCUAUCUACUUUAUCAUUUUCUUUUUCUUUUCUUUUUUAAUGUGUAGUAACUUCCAAAGCCUUUAAAGUAAAGGCUUAACUGCCAGUAAAAGGUACAGGGUAAGACAGAAGAAUUCACUUACUGAAUGAUAAGAAAUCAAAUCAAUUCAAGGAGGUGAACUAAAACCUCACUCUAGGUUAGGCCACAGACUAAAAGAAAAAAAAAUGAAGGACCUGAAAUGGAAUCCUGUUUAUAAUAUUUAAUAUGAGACUUUAGAAAAUCACCUUCUUUGUGCCUUAGACCAGUGAAAACUCAAAGUAGCCAGUUGCCAAAAUAUUCGUUGCACGUCCACGUGAGGUAUGGAGUGUGCACCAGAAUGUAUGUCAACCACUGCUUCCUUCAUUGAGAAAGUCUUGCUACCAAGAAGAAAAGUCACCUGAACUGUACAAUGUGCUUAAUAAUGUGGUUGGCAGUAUGGCUCAAGCCAGUGCAUGGACCACAUUAUAAGUGGCACUGCUUUAGACUUUUCCCCAAAUAAUAUUAUCCUGCUCCUCCUCCUCCUACCAUUCUUGAUGGAUUGGUUUGGAUCAAGUAUAAGAAAACUGGCUGAGUGUUUUAUAUAGUUUCUCUAAGAAGGUAAAAUAUUUAAAGGGACUUUUUUACAGAAACUUCACAAUCAGUGUUGAAGAAGAGAAGAAUUCUAGGAAUGCGAAAAAAACUCAUGAAAUACAAAAAAAAUCAAAUGCUUCAUAAAAAAGUUUCUUGUACCAGUGUCAUAUUCAAUUUAACAUUUGUUUUGUAUUUUAAAUUUUUAAACAAGUUAAUUAUUAAUGGCUGCAAGAAAAUAAGCUGGGAUGGGUUUGGCAGAAUUUUACUUCUUACCUCCAGCUUUAACUCUUAUUUUGCUGAGCAAAGGUCUCAUUUUAACACAUGAUUAAAUCUGAAAGAUCACCCCAAUAACUUCCUCCCUCCACCACCCCUCCCACAGCCACUGCCAUCAUCCUGCUUUUCAGACCCACGGUAAGUCACACCUCUCCUUGAAAGACAACAUACAGAGAUCUUGCAGAUAAUAUAAGGGGUGUCAUGGGUAGCUAGUUAGCUUUUCCUGGUUAGGGUGGUAGUGGGAGAAAUAUUCAGUGCUGAUGUCCUUGCCAGAAAGAAGUACAUGGGUUACAUGCCUUUGUGGAGAAAAAAAUUCAGCACUAAAUUUUUUUAUUAGAAUAUAAAAAUAUUCUAAUAAAAAAUUAGAAUUUUUCUAAUUCUAAUUUCUUCUGUACUGGCUAGUUGAACUGAGACUCACUAGGCGACCUGCAAGAUACAGCUGGUGGAGUCAUUGUGAAAUGAAAGGGUAAUGAAGAAGGAAGAGCUAUUAUUGCACAGAAGAUAAACAACACUGGAAAAAGCCUUUCUUCAGGGGAGGAACUUCUGAAUUGAUUUGUGUUUGUGUACUUGUGUGUUGCACAUAACACUGCAUGAAUAAAAUUAGCAGUGGAAAAGCA